AAGGAAUAUUGGACAAUGGCCGAAAGGCUGAUCCAGCCAUGCCGCGUGAAGGACGAAGGCGCUCAGCGUUGUAAACUUCUUUUGGACGGGGAUAAUGGUGUCGACGCGUUCGGCAUUUGAAGGUACCGUCAGAAUAAGCACCGGCUAACUCCGUGCCAGCAGCCGCGGUAAUACGGAGGGUGCGAGCGUUAUCCGGAAUCACUGGGUUUAAAGGGUGCGUAGGCGGCCGGAUAAGUCAGUUGUGAAAUCGCUGGGCUGAACCCAUGCAAUUGCGAUUGAUACUGUCCGUGCUUGAAACAGGUUGAGGUAAGCGGAAUGUGGCAUGUAGCGGUGAAAUGCAUAGAUAUGCCAUAGAACACCGAUUGCGAAGGCAGCUUGCUGGGCCUGAUUUGACGCUGAGGCACGAAAGCGUGGGGAGCAAAC
rnacentral:rRNA from 1 species